CUACGUGCCAGCAGCCGCGGUAAUACGUAGGGUGCGAGCGUUAAUCGGAAUUACUGGGCGUAAAGCGAGCGCAGACGGUUACUUAAGCAGGAUGUGAAAUCCCCGGGCUCAACCUGGGAACUGCGUUCUGAACUGGGUGACUAGAGUGUGUCAGAGGGAGGUAGAAUUCCACGUGUAGCAGUGAAAUGCGUAGAGAUGUGGAGGAAUACCGAUGGCGAAGGCAGCCUCCUGGGAUAACACUGACGUUCAUGCUCGAAAGCGUGGGUAGCAAACAGGAUUAGAUACCCUGGUAGUCCACGCCCUAAACGAUGUCAAUUAGCUGUUGGGCAACUUGAUUGCUUAGUAGCGUAGCUAACGCGUGAAAUCGACCGCCUGGGGAGUACGGUCGCAAGAUUAAAACUCAAAGGAAUUGACGGGGACCCGCACAAGCGGUGGAUGAUGUGGAUUAAUUCGAUGCAACGCGAAGAACCUUACCUGGUCUUGACAU
rnacentral:rRNA from 1 species